UCCUCCUCUUCCCCCUCUCCAGAGCGGGACACAAGGCGCCGGCGGAGGAAACCGGCCGACAGGGACGACUCCCCGGGCAGCCGGGACGGCCGCCCGCGACACCGCGGCCACAAGCGGAGCCGCAGCCGCUCCCGCAGGUCCUGAACACUCCGGAUUCUCUAGAGGUGGCACCGGAGUCGACAGUCGCGGCCGCCGGCGGGAGCGUCCGGAUGUCGGCAGCAACAUGGGGAAUCCCUGCGUGGCGGGGCGGGAUCGUGGCUGCUUCCGCCUGGGAUUCAUCCCUGCCUGUGGGCUCGGGCGGCCGGCAGUGUCGCCGCCCCCGGCUCCGCUUUAGCUCAAGAGGACUUGGAUGCAAAUAUAACUUUUUUAUUUUUACUA